AACGAACGCUGGCGGCAUGCCUAACACAUGCAAGUCGAACGAGACCUUCGGGUCUAGUGGCGCACGGGUGCGUAAGGCGUGGGAACCAGCCCUUAGGUUCGGAAUAACUGCCCGAAAGGGGUCCUAAUACCGGAUAAUCUCAUCGGACCAAAGAUUUAUCGCUUUUGGAUGGGCCCGCGUUAGAUUCGCUAGUUGGUAGUGUAAAAGCCUACCAAGGCGACGAUCCAUGGCUGGUCUGAUAGGAUGAUCAUCCACACUGGGACUGAGACACGGCCCAGACUCCGACGGGAGACAGCAGUGGGGAAUAUUGUGCAAGGGGCGAUAACCUGAUCAAGCAAUGCCGCGGGUGUGGUGAAGGCCUUAGUGUUGUAAUUCUCUUUGACCCGAGGUGAUAAUGACAGUACCGGGUGAAUAAGCUCCGGCUAACUCCGUG
rnacentral:rRNA from 1 species